UAUAAAUCAUAUGAUGAAUACAAUGAUAGGACUGAAAUAAAUGUUGAAAAAAUUUACAAGCCGAUAAUAAUAAAAACACUGAUC